rnacentral:rRNA from 1 species
CUUGGUCAUUUAGAGGAAGUAAAAGUCGUAACAAGGUUUCCGUAGGUGAACCUGCGGAAGGAUCAUUAUCGUACAAAAUGUGUAAGGCAUGCAAGGGCUGUCGCUGACUUUUUAAUCACAAAAAGUCGUGCACGCCGGAGCGUGUCCUCUCGCAUAAAAUCCAUCUCACCCUUUUGUGCACCACCGCGUGGGCACCCUUUGGGAUCGAACCGAUCCAGGAGGGCGCUUGCGUUUUCACACAAACCCCCUUAUAAAAGUGUAGAAUGACCCCAUUUUUGCGAUAACACGCAAUCAAUACAACUUUCAACAACGGAUCUCUUGGCUCUCGCAUCGAUGAAGAACGCAGCGAAAUGCGAUACGUAAUGUGAAUUGCAGAAUUCAGUGAAUCAUCGAAUCUUUGAACGCACCUUGCGCCCCUUGGUAUUCCGAGGGGCACACCCGUUUGAGUGUCGUGAAAAUCUCAACCUCCUCGGUUUCUUCUGGACGCCGAAGGAGGCUUGGACUUUGGAGGCCUUUGCUGGCGUCUCUCGCCAGCUCCUCUCAAAUGAAUUAGCGGGGUCCUCUUUGCCGAUCCUCGACGUGUGAUAAGAUGUUUCCAUGUCUUGGUUUCUGGCUCUGUCGCCUUUGGGACCCGCUUCUAACCGUCUCAAGUCGAGACAACGUUUGAGCGUGUCUCCCUUCUCGGGAAACACCCUCGAGCCCACGAACCCUUGACCUCAAAUCGGGUGAGACUACCCGCUGAACUUAAGCAUAUCAAUAAGCGGAGGA